GGUUACUUUCUUAACCCCCAAAUUAGGGAUUUUUUUUUUUAAUCAGAAAAAAACAGGAUCCUAAGUAUAGACCUAUACACUGAAGGCCUCUUUCUCUACUUUCCUUGUCAUUUAGAAGAGCACUUCGGUCUCAGGGUGAACUGUGGCAAGUCACAGCUUUCCUUAAAAAUCCUCUUUAGCCGUCCAAAUCUAGAAAAGCAUGGGGGUUUUUUGUUUUAAUUUAAGGAUGCAAAGUAUUUUGCCCACUCCUAUAAAAGAAGAUUGUUAGUUAGCUGCCUAAAAACCUUUGCGUUGAGAGCAAGCAUUUGAAAUUUCAGUCUAAAGGAUAGUUCACUCCUUGGUUUGGGGAUAUCAGUUGUGAUAGCUUGUUCUCUGGAAAGUGCCCCUAGCCUGGGGGAUACCUCCCAAGAAACCAGAGAGGACCCAGGGAGUAAUAAUAGACGGAACUGAGUCAAUGUGGCACUUGGUGACCAGCAGCAGCCCUCAGGGUUCAGUACUUGAAUUGAUGCUUUUUAACAUUAAUUAUAUGGAUUUGGGUAACGUCUGUUUUCUGCCUAACUUCAGACUAACAUUGCUAACUACUCACAGUACCUGAAUGGAGAGGAUCACAUGGAAGAACUUGCAUAGAUAAUAAUUUGAACGGAAAAGAGUACAGCUAUACUAAAAAGUUAUAUUAUCAGUCUUGUGAUCAGGAAAAGGAAUGCGUGUGUAAUGCUAGAGGAGA